UAUCAGAAUGGGAGCUGAUUGUAAGUUAAUUUGAUGCCUUAAGACUACUAGUAUUAGUAUCAGUAGUAUCAAGAUAAUGACCAGCCCCUACUGUAUCCUUGCAUUUAUCAGAAUACUAAUAACAUUCUUCUGUCAACAAUUAUCUCUAUUUUCUUUCUGCUUGAUGAAAGAGGACAACAAUAGAUUAACCAUAAGAUAAUCCAAGGCCAUAAAUAUUCCUAUAACGUUUUUUUGACAUUCAAAUCGGACAACAGAUUACGACGUUCGUGUGGCCACGACAUUUAUGUUUUUGAGAAGUGUUAAGUUUCAACGAUGCAGUAUUCGAAAAGUUGUUAGAAAAUAAAAGGAAAUUAAUAUUUUAUUCAAACAACAAACAGCAAAGAAUCAACUUAAGUGGGGAUACCUCUAAAACCGUCAGAAAAGAGAAGGCCAGGAUUACCGCAGCAAUUGGAAAUAUUUUCUUUACCAGCGCCGUCGAAGAUCUCGUAUAACUCAAAAAAUAUUUAAUUUUCAAUUAAAAAAUUCGGUGUGUCAUCUUGAAAUAUGUAUGUAUGUAUGU